AGCGGAGUAGAGCAGUUUGGUAGCUCACGAGGCUCAUAACCUUGAGGUCACGGGUUCGAUUCCCAUCUCCACAC
rnacentral:tRNA from 1 species